AGACCUGUGGUGAAUCGCUUUAAUAUCUGACGCCUCAUAUGAAAAUUGCACAUGUAGUCUGAUUAUUUUACAAGACUGAGGCUU
rnacentral:snoRNA from 1 species